rnacentral:rRNA from 1 species
AAUCAACGCUGGCGGCGCGCUUAACACAUGCAAGUCGAACGAGAAAGGGAGCAAUCCCUGAGUAAAGUGGCGCACGGGUGAGUAACACGUGGGUAAUCUACCUCUGGGUGGGGAAUAACUCUGGGAAACCGGAGCUAAUACCGCAUAAGCUCGGGAGAGGAAAGGCGAAAGUCGCCGGGAGAGGAGCCCGCGGUCGAUUAGUUAGAUGGUGAGGUAAGAGCUCACCAUGGCAAAGAUCGAUAGCCGGCCUGAGAGGGCACACGGCCACACUGGCACUGAAACACGGGCCAGACUCCUACGGGAGGCAGCAGUGGGGAAUCUUGCACAAGUGGGGGAAACCCUGAUGCAGCGACGCCGCGUGAGUGAUGAAGCCCUUGGGUGUAAGCUCUUUCGACCCGGAAGAUAAUGACGGUACGGGAAGAAGAAGCUGCGGCUAACUACGUGCCAGCAG